AAUUUACUGGGCGUUAAAGCGCAUGCAGGUGGUUUGUUAAGUCAGAUGUGAAAGCCCCGGGGCUCAACCUCGGAAUUGCAUUUGAAACUGGCAGACUAGAGUACUGUAGAGGGGGUAGAAUUUCAGGUGUAGCGGUGAAAUGCGUAGAGAUCUGAAGGAAUACCGGUGGCGAAGGCGGCCCCCUGGACAGAUACUGACACUCAGAUGCGAAAGCGUGGGGAGCAAACAGGAUUAGAUACCCUGGUAG
rnacentral:rRNA from 1 species